AUUGAACGCUGGCGGCAGGCCUCAAACAUUCAUGUUGAACGAGUGUCGGACGGUUGAGUAAUAUCUGGGAAACUGCCCGAUGGUGGGGGAUCACUACUGGAAACGGGAGCUAAUACCGCAUACACUCGGAUGUGCCCAGAUGGGAUUAGCUAGUAGGUGGGGUAACGGCUCACCUAGGCGACGAUCCCUAUCUGGUCUGAGAGGAUGACCAGUCAAAUUGGAACGUAGAUACGGUCCAUACUCCUAAGGGAGGCAGCAGUGGGGAAUGUUGCUCAUUGGGCGAAAGACUUAUGCAGCUCUGCCGCGUGUAUGAAGAAGUCCUUGGGGGUGUAAAGUACGUACAGCAGGGAGGCGUUCCCCGCAGAAGAUGCACCGGCUAACUCCGUGCCAGCAGCCGCGGUAAUAC
rnacentral:rRNA from 1 species